AAGUCGUAACAAGGUUUCCGUAGGUGAACCUGCGGAAGGAUCAUUACCUAGAGUUGUAGGCUUUGCCUGCUAUCUCUUACCCAUGUCUUUUAAGUACCUUACGUUUCCUCGGCGGGUCCGCCCGCCGAUUGGACAUUAAACUAAUUGCAGUUGCAAUCAGCGUCUGAAAACUUAAAAUAUGAUUAUCAACA
rnacentral:misc_RNA from 1 species